rnacentral:rRNA from 1 species
UACGUAGGCAGCAAGCGUUGUUCGGAUUUACUGGGCGUAAAGGGUGCGUAGGCGGUCCUAUAAGUAUGGUGUGAAAUCUCCCGGCUUAACUGGGAGGGUGCGCUAUAGACUGUGGGACUAGAGUGUGGGAGAGGAAAGUGGAAUUCCUGGUGUAGCGGUGAAAUGCGUAGAUAUCAGGAGGAACACCGGUGGUGUAAACGGCUUUCUGGACCAUAACUGACGCUGAGGCACGAAAGCGUGGGCAGCAAACAGG